rnacentral:rRNA from 1 species
AGAGUUUGAUCCUGGCUCAGGACGAACGCUUGCGGCGGCCUAAGAAAUGCAAGUCGAACGGACACUCCAGCAAUGGGGUGUUAGUGGCGAACGGUCGCGUAACACGUAGGCAACCUGCCUCAAAGUGGGGGACAACAGCCCGAAAGGGCUGCUAAUACCGCAUGUGGCCACCUUUUCGCAUGAUUUGGUGUCUAAAGCCUUCGGGCGCUUUGAGAUGGGCUUGCGGCCUAUCAGCUUGUUGGUAAGGUAACGGCUUACCAAGGCGAUGACGGGUAGCUGGUCUGAGAGGAUGUCCAGCCGGAUUGGGACUGAGAUACGGCCCAGACUCCUACGGGGGGCAGCAAUUAGGAAUCUUGCGCAAUGGGCGAAAGCCUGACGCAGCGACGCCGCGUGGAGGAUGACGGGUUUCGGCCUGUAAACUCCUUUUCUGGGGGAAGAAGAAUGUGACGGUACCCCAGGAAUAAGCCCCGGCUAACUACGUGCCAGCAGCCGCGGUAAUACGUAGGGGGCGAGCGUUGUCCGAAGUUACUGGGCGUAAAGAGCGCGUAGGCGGUUUUCUAAGUUUGGUGUGAAAGGUUCAGGGCUCAACCCGAACAGUGCACUGAAUACUGGGAAACUUGAGUGGGGGAGAGGAAGGUGGAAUUCCAGGUGUAGCGGUGAAAUGCGUAGAUAUCUGGAGGAACACCGGUGGCGAANNNNNCUUCUGCCUCUUACUNNNNNUGAGGCCGCGAAAGCGUGGGGAGCGAACGGGAUUAGAUACCCUAGUAGUCC